AGUUUUGAAAGAGGUAAAAUUCAGGGGAAAUCUGACUUGGAAAAGUUACAUAAUUUUGAAAAAAGGAAAAAAACCUAUUGUAUUUUUUUUAAAAAAACAACAAACUUCUCAAAAUCUGAUUUUUAUUUUUAUACCCCAAGUUUCCUGUGCCUGUAGAUUAAAAUGUGCUUUCUUUAUAUGUCAUUUUCCAGGAAGUUUGACAGACAUGCCCAGACUCACGUCUGCUUAUGUCUUACUGCAUGAGCACUUACCAGCAAUUGCUCUCAGUAAAAUAUAUUAGAGGGACAGCUCGAUCCAUCCGAGGCUCCCAUCCAUCUGGUGAGGCACAGACAGCAGCUGACAUUGGGGCAGUGAAAAUGAGCAAAUUAAAGACCGUAACUGGGAUGUUUACAGCAGCAACAUGGUGAACAAACAGAUAAGGAUGCUGUGGAAAGCAAAAGGUCACUGGACUUGAAGGACAAACUCAUGGAAUAUGAAUCCACUGAGUCUGCUGAAACUGUGC
rnacentral:lncRNA from 1 species